GUGAGUUUUGUACAGCGUUUAUCGAUUUUCAUUUUAUAAUGAGCGUAACGUUUUGUUUACUUUUUAUUCGUGUAUAACGUUGUCUCUGAUGUUUUUAUAAUGUGCAGUAUUCGGCUCUAGUGUUGUGGUGGGAUUGAUUCAAUUAUGUGCGAGAGUUCGGGCGAGAUUGCGUGUUUUGGAUGACAAAAACAUGGAAUUCGAGAACGAUUUCAGCUUGAAAGAAUGGGCGAAGGACAAGCCUUUGUCCAUAUUGCAGCUGGACCCGGCAGACCGUGCCGUUUUGAGGAUAGCAGGUAAAACAUGGCGAUAAAAGAUAGUCAUCACUUCGUGUUGAAGCAGUAUGAGGGGAGAAUAGAAUAAAAGGCCCGAUUAUUUUCUUAUUUUAUGGUUUUAAAAGUUUAAUGAAUUCUCACAUACAAGAACUGUGCUAAAAUACAAAAUAAAUAAGUAA